CGAGAAGACAUUGGCCUCCAUUCCAGUGGUGAAGGAGGGAAGGAUGGAUGGAAGAAAGGUGAAAUCCAGAAAGUAGAGAGGAAGACAAAAAAUACCUACAACACCGUCAUCCAGAGAGAUAACCACUGUUAACAUUCUGGUUACAAGAAGCUUUCACAGGAAUGUCGCUGAAUUCUGCUUAAUGUCUUUCAAAAUACCUAUCAGGACAGUUAUCAACAAUUAUAUGUCUAUUUUGACUUGCUGAUGUGACAGAUUAAUGUUUUUCUUAAUGUUGAAUUCUCCUUUCACAAUGGAAUGAACUCCACUUACUCACAAUAUAUUAAAUAUCA